rnacentral:rRNA from 1 species
GGGUUGUGAGGUUAAGCGACUAAGCGUACACGGUGGAUGCCCUGGCAGUCAGAGGCGAUGAAGGACGUGCUAAUCUGCGAAAAGCGUCGGUAAGGUGAUAUGAACCGUUAUAACCGGCGAUGUCCGAAUGGGGAAACCCAGUGCAAUUCGUUGCACUAUCGUUAACUGAAUACAUAGGUUAACGAGGCGAACCGGGGGAACUGAAACAUCUAAGUACCCCGAGGAAAAGAAAUCAACCGAGAUUCCCCCAGUAGCGGCGAGCGAACGGGGAGCAGCCCAGAGUCUGAAUCAGCUUGUGUGUUAGUGGAACGGUCUGGAAAGUCCGACGGUACAGGGUGAUAGUCCCGUACACCAAAAUGCACAGGUUGUGAACUCGAAGAGUAGGGCGGGACACGUGGUAUCCUGUCUGAAUAUGGGGGGACCAUCCUCCAAGGCUAAAUACUCCUGACUGACCGAUAGUGAACCAGUACCGUGAGGGAAAGGCGAAAAGAACCCCGGCGAGGGGAGUGAAAAAGAACCUGAAACCGUGUACGUACAAGCAGUGGGAGCACCUUCGGGUGUGACUGCGUACCUUUUGUAUAAUGGGUCAGCGACUUAUAUUCUGUAGCAAGGUUAACCGUAUAGGGGAGCCGCAGGGAAACCGAGUCUUAACUGGGCGUUAAGUUGCAGGGUAUAGACCCGAAACCCGGUGAUCUAGCCAUGGGCAGGUUGAAGGUUGGGUAACACUAACUGGAGGACCGAACCGACUAAUGUUGAAAAAUUAGCGGAUGACUUGUGGCUGGGGGUGAAAGGCCAAUCAAACCGGGAGAUAGCUGGUUCUCCCCGAAAGCUAUUUAGGUAGCGCCUCGUGAAUUCAUCUUCGGGGGUAGAGCACUGUUUCGGCUAGGGGGUCAUCCCGACUUACCAACCCGAUGCAAACUACGAAUACCGAAGAAUGUUAUCACGGGAGACACACGGCGGGUGCUAACGUCCGUCGUGAAGAGGGAAACAACCCAGACCGCCAGCUAAGGUCCCAAAGUCAUGGUUAAGUGGGAAACGAUGUGGGAAGGCACAGACAGCCAGGAUGUUGGCUUAGAAGCAGCCAUCAUUUAAAGAAAGCGUAAUAGCUCACUGGUCGAGUCGGCCUGCGCGGAAGAUGUAACGGGGCUAAACCAUGCACCGAAGCUGCGGCAGCGACACUAUGUGUUGUUGGGUAGGGGAGCGUUCUGUAAGCCUGCGAAGGUGACCUGUGAGGGUUGCUGGAGGUAUCAGAAGUGCGAAUGCUGACAUAAGUAACGAUAAAGCGGGUGAAAAGCCCGCUCGCCGGAAGACCAAGGGUUCCUGUCCAACGUUAAUCGGGGCAGGGUGAGUCGACCCCUAAGGCGAGGCCGAAAGGCGUAGUCGAUGGGAAACAGGUUAAUAUUCCUGUACUUGGUGUUACUGCGAAGGGGGGACGGAGAAGGCUAUGUUAGCCGGGCGACGGUUGUCCCGGUUUAAGCAUGUAGGCUGAUUGUCCAGGCAAAUCCGGAUAAUCAAGGCUGAGGUGUGAUGACGAGGCACUACGGUGCUGAAGUAACAAAUGCCCUGCUUCCAGGAAAAGCCUCUAAGCAUCAGGUAACAUCAAAUCGUACCCCAAACCGACACAGGUGGUCAGGUAGAGAAUACCAAGGCGCUUGAGAGAACUCGGGUGAAGGAACUAGGCAAAAUGGUGCCGUAACUUCGGGAGAAGGCACGCUGGUGUGUAGGUGAAGCCCCUGCGGGUGGAGCUGAGACCAGUCGAAGAUACCAGCUGGCUGCAACUGUUUAUUAAAAACACAGCACUGUGCAAACACGAAAGUGGACGUAUACGGUGUGACGCCUGCCCGGUGCCGGAAGGUUAAUUGAUGGGGUUAUCCGUAAGGAGAAGCUCUUGAUCGAAGCCCCGGUAAACGGCGGCCGUAACUAUAACGGUCCUAAGGUAGCGAAAUUCCUUGUCGGGUAAGUUCCGACCUGCACGAAUGGCGUAAUGAUGGCCAGGCUGUCUCCACCCGAGACUCAGUGAAAUUGAACUCGCUGUGAAGAUGCAGUGUACCCGCGGCAAGACGGAAAGACCCCGUGAACCUUUACUAUAGCUUGACACUGAACAUUGAGCCUUGAUGUGUAGGAUAGGUGGGAGGCUUUGAAGCGUGGACGCCAGUCUGCGUGGAGCCAACCUUGAAAUACCACCCUUUAAUGUUUGAUGUUCUAACGUUGGCCCCUGACCGGGGUUGCGGACAGUGUCUGGUGGGUAGUUUGACUGGGGCGGUCUCCUCCCAAAGCGUAACGGAGGAGCACGAAGGUUAGCUAAUCCUGGUCGGACAUCAGGAGGUUAGUGCAAUGGCAUAAGCUAGCUUGACUGCGAGCGUGACGGCGCGAGCAGGUGCGAAAGCAGGUCAUAGUGAUCCGGUGGUUCUGAAUGGAAGGGCCAUCGCUCAACGGAUAAAAGGUACUCCGGGGAUAACAGGCUGAUACCGCCCAAGAGUUCAUAUCGACGGCGGUGUUUGGCACCUCGAUGUCGGCUCAUCACAUCCUGGGGCUGAAGUAGGUCCCAAGGGUAUGGCUGUUCGCCAUUUAAAGUGGUACGCGAGCUGGGUUUAGAACGUCGUGAGACAGUUCGGUCCCUAUCUGCCGUGGGCGCUGGAGAAUUGAGGGGGGCUGCUCCUAGUACGAGAGGACCGGAGUGGACGCAUCACUGGUGUUCGGGUUGUCAUGCCAAUGGCACUGCCCGGUAGCUAAAUGCGGAAGAGAUAAGUGCUGAAAGCAUCUAAGCACGAAACUUGCCCCGAGAUGAGUUCUCCCUGAGACUUUAAGUCUCCUGAAGGAACGUUGAAGACGACGACGUUGAUAGGCCGGGUGUGUAAGCGCAGCGAUGCGUUGAGCUAACCGGUACUAAUGAACCGUGAGGCUUAACCUUACAACGCCGAAG